GACGAAGGGGGCUAGCGUUGUUCGGAAUUACUGGGCGUAAAGCGCGUGUAGGCGGUUAUCCAAGUCGGGUGUGAAAGCCUUGAGCUCAACUCAAGAAGUGCAUUCGGUACUGGGUGACUAGAGGACCGGAGAGGAUAGUGGAAUUCCCAGUGUAGUGGUGAAAUACGUAGAGAUUGGGAAGAACACCAGUGGCGAAGGCGGCUAUCUGGACGGUUUCUGACGCUAAGACGCGAAAGCGUGGGGAGCAAACAGG
rnacentral:rRNA from 1 species